GUAUCUCGUCGGUCCUCGAGAUACUUAAUCCGUCGGCAUCGCGUCGGCAUCGUGUUGAUUAACCACACAGUCGAAUCGCGAGUAUCGGCAUUAGAAGCGUGAGCGAGUGAAAUCCGGAGGACUCCAGCAGCCGGGAAGCAGGACGCCGGCAGCAAUACACGCCACGUUUCCAGACGUUGCGGGAAGCAAGUCCGGCGGACGCGGAUGCCGCACCGGAGGAUCCGGUUCGGGCAGACCAGGAUCGGCCGAAAGGUACCUGUUCUACCAACCAUUCUGGCAAUCCACUUUACUCGAAGGAUUCUCCGGGCAAGGAUCAUUCGUCGUUUUAUCGUCAUUCUCUUUGACACAUCUUAUCAGAAACAUUGUCAACGCCCCAACUAUCGGUGGGACGCCGGCUAACAGGAAAGGCAGAUCGUAUGAACCUAAACAGAACA